rnacentral:rRNA from 2 species
UUCGCAAUGCCCGAAAGGGUGACGAAGCGACGCCGCGUGGGUGAAGAAGGCCUUCGGGUUGUAAAGCCCUGUCAGGAGUUAUGAGAUGUAGGUACGAUAAUACCGUGCUUAUUUGACAAAGGCUCCAAAGGAAGCCACGGCUAACUCUGUGCCAGCAGCCGCGGUAAUACAGAGGUGGCAAGCGUUGUUCGGAAUUAUUGGGCGUAAAGAGCACGUAGGUGGGUUUGUAAGUCAGGUGUGAAAGCCUCCUGUUCAACGGGAGAAUUGCAUCUGAAACUACAGAUCUUGAGUAUAGGAGGGGAGAAUGGAACUUCUGUGGAGCGGUGAAAUGCGUAGAUAUCAGAAGGAACGCCGGCGGCGAAAGCGAUUCUCUGGCCUAUUACUGACACUCAGUGUGCGAAAGCUAGGGGAGCAAACGGGAUUAGAUACCCCGGUAGUCCUAGCCGUAAACGAUGGGCACUAAGUAGAGGGGUUUU